UCGAGCGGCAGCGCGAGUAGUAGAAAUACUAUUUGGCGGCGUGCGGCGGACGGGUGAGGAACGCGUAGGGACCUGACCAUUAGAGCGGGACAACCAAGGGAAACUUUGGCUAAUACCGCAUGAACUCGGGAGAGGAAAGUUGCCAUGGAGCGAUCUGUGGUGACGCUAGUGGAGGGGCCUGCGUCCGAUUAGCUAGUUGGUAGGGUAAAGGCCUACCAAGGCGAUGAUUGGUAACUGGUCUGAGAGGACGACCAGUCACACUGGGACUGAGACACGGCCCAGACUCCUACGGGAGGCAGCAGUGGGGAAUAUUGGACAAUGGGCGCAAGCCUGAUCCAGCCAUGCCGCGUGGGUGAUGAAGGCCCUAGGGUUGUAAAGCCCUUUCGGCGGGGAAGAUAAUGACGGUACCCGCAGAAGAAGCCCCGGCUAACUUCGUG
rnacentral:rRNA from 1 species